rnacentral:rRNA from 1 species
UACGUAGGGUGCGAGCGUUAAUCGGAAUUACUGGGCGUAAAGCGUGCGCAGGCGGUUAUUUAAGUCAGGUGUGAAAGCCCUGGGCUUAACCUAGGAAUUGCGCUUGAGACUGGAUAGCUUGGAGUGCGGCAGAGGGAGGUGGAAUUCCACGUGUAGCAGUGAAAUGCGUAGAGAUGUGGAGGAACACCGAUGGCGAAGGCAGCCUCCUGGGCCAACACUGACGCUCAUGCACGAAAGCGUGGGGAGCAAACAGG